UACGGAGGGUGCGAGCGUUGUUCGGAAUCACUGGGCGUAAAGCGCGUGUAGGCGGCUUCUUAAGUCCGAUGUGAAAGCCCGGGGCUCACCCCCGGAAGUGCAUUGGAUACUGGGAAGCUGGAGUACCGGAGAGGAGGGUGGAAUUCCUGGUGUAGCGGUGAAAUGCGUAGAUAUCAGGAGGAACACCUGUGGCGAAGGCGGCCCUCUGGACGGAUACUGACGCUGAGACGCGAAAGCGUGGGGAGCGAACAGG
rnacentral:rRNA from 1 species